UUACAGUGUAUCUGAAGAAUUCCUAUGCAUAUCUUUUGUGAUCUGGGUAAAUUCUUUACCAUCUGUAUCACCUUUCUUCUGUGUGCCAUUUCUUAAACAAGAUCUUUAAAGAUGAGCGGAUUGUGGAGCCUACAGACACGAACUGCCAGCCUCUUUGCUACCCCACCUCAUGCACUGUAUUUCUCAGUGCCCUGUCUUGGCUCUGUUCAUCUUCAAAGAACCUAUUAUUGUUUCUAUUAUAGAAACUGGACCAAAAAUAUACAACAAGUUCUCAACACUGGACAACAGAUGACAACAAAGUAAAGCGAUUCUAAGAGAAGGAAACAAAGGCAGUGAGCCCUUGGAUCACAAGCCACAGUGAAGGAAUUCAUGAAGUCUUGGAUGAAGAAUGGGAACACUACUGUAAAGAGAUCGUUGCCAUUCGCUUUAAAGUUCCCUCCUCUGAGGUUAGGGCACCGAAGAGAACACAAAUUCGUUCCCUUCAAGAAGGUCAGAAAUGUGUAAUCAAGUAGCAAGUGCAGAGUGCAAGGGUCGUCCUCAGGACAUUGGAAGACAGCAGGAAAACAAAACAGCAGGCAGGGUCCACAGCACAGAGAAGAGCGCGCGGGUGUAGGGUGUAGCCGAGGAGGGCGGGGGGGGGGGGUGGACC
rnacentral:lncRNA from 1 species